rnacentral:rRNA from 1 species
GACGAACGCUGGCGGCGUGCUUAACACAUGCAAGUCGUACGGUAAGGCCCUUUCGGGGGUCCACGAGUGGCGAACGGGUGAGUAACACGUGAGUAACCUGCCCACAACUUUGGGAUAACGCUAGGAAACUGGUGCUAAUACUGGAUAUGUGCUCCUGCUGCAUGGUGGGGGUUGGAAAGCUCCGGCGGGUGUGGAUGGACUCGCGGCCUAUCAGCUUGUUGGUGGGGUAGUGGCCUACCAAGGCGGCGACGGGUAGCCGGCCGGAGAGGGUGACCGGCCACAUUGAGACUGGGAUACGGCCCAGACUCCUACUGGAGGCAGCAGUGGGGAAUGUUGCACAAUGGGCGCGAGCCUGAUGCAGCAACGCCGCGGGCGGGAUGACGGCCUUCGGGUUGUGAACCGCUUUCAGCAGGGACGAAGCUUUUUGUGACGGUACCUGCAGAAGAAGCACCGGCUAACUACGUG